rnacentral:rRNA from 1 species
CCUACGGGAGACAGCAGUGAGGAAUAUUGGUCAAUGGCCGAGAGGCUGAACCAGCCAAGUCGCGUGAGGGAAGACGGCCCUACGGGUUGUAAACCUCUUUUGUCGGGGAGCAAAGCAAACCACGUGUGGUUCAUUGAGAGUACCCUAAGAAAAAGCAUCGGCUAACUCCGUGCCAGCAGCCGCGGUAAUACGGAGGAUGCGAGCGUUAUCCGGAUUUAUUGGGUUUAAAGGGUGCGCAGGCGGAGGUGCAAGUCAGCGGUCAAAUUGCGGGGCGCAACCCCGUACUGCCGUUGAAACUGGAUGCCUUGAGUGCGCGAGAGGUAGGCGGAAUGCGUGGUGUAGCGGUGAAAUGCAUAGAUAUCACGAAGAACUCCGAUUGCGAAGGCAGCAUACCGGCGCGCAACUGACGCUCAUGCACGAAAGCGUGGGUAUCGAACAGGAUUAGAUACCCCUGUAGUC